rnacentral:rRNA from 1 species
CUCGAGAUGAGAUUUCCCAUUCCUAUAUGGAAGUAAGACCCCUGAGAGAUGAUCAGGUAGAUAGGCUGGAAGUGGAAGUGCAGCGAUGCAUGGAGCGGACCAGUACUAAUCGGUCGAGGACUUAACCAA